GGAUAUUAGGUUUAGAUAAACCAAUUGAGGCAUCAACAAGAGAGUUAAGACCAUGUUUCAAUGGUUCUCUAAAUUAGUCUUCAGUUCCUGAUUUGGUUUGGGACAUGCCUUAUUAGGCAACUGUUAUUUUAUUGCAUGGUGUUGUAAAUUUAUAAACAGCUGUAAUUUUUUGGGUUUUUAUUCUUAAAAAAAAAUACAUUUGUUGGUUUUUUAUGUGAUCAAGUUUUGGCUUUACAGUUA